rnacentral:snRNA from 1 species
GGAUGUGAGGAGGACCUGGCUAUGACAUCCAUCACUCCAUGGACUACCGAGGUUGAUUUGGUUAAUCUGGCUGGCUAUGCAAGAGUCCUUUCCCGCCUUAACUGUUCCUCAGGAUUUGUCCCUCAGGAAGCUGUGCGUUUGGAGAAGACAACCUUCUCCAAUAGAGGAAGACCAAUCAAGGGUACACAAGUAGCUAAUCUCCACCAAAAGAAUCUCCAAACAAGCUCCCAAAUUGCUACCUGGAGGCCCAGUAUUCAAAACCCAUAAGGCUCU